CAGUGAGGAAUAAUGGUCAAAGGAGGAGAGUCUGAACCAGCCAAUUCGCGUGAAGGAAGACUGCCCUAGGGGUUGUAAACUUCUUUUGUACAGGAAUAAAACUCAAUACGUGUAGUGUAUUGGAUGUACUGUACGAAUAAGCAUCGGCUAACUCC
rnacentral:rRNA from 1 species